rnacentral:rRNA from 1 species
UCUUUCUUUGCUGGCGACCGGCGCACGGGUGAGUAACACGUAUCCAACCUGCCCUUUACUCGGGGGUAGCCUUUCGAAAGAAAGAUUAAUACCCGAUAGCAUAAUGAUUCCGCAUGGUUUCAUUAUUAAAGGAUUCCGGUAAAGGAUGGGGAUGCGUUCCAUUAGGUUGUUGGUGAGGUAACGGCUCACCAAGCCUUCGAUGGAUAGGGGUUCCGAGAGGAAGGUCCCCCACAUUGGAACUGAGACACGGUCCAA